rnacentral:rRNA from 1 species
UACGUAGGGUGCGAGCGUUAAUCGGAAUUACUGGGCGUAAAGCGUGCGCAGGUGGUCAUGUAAGACAGAUGUGAAAUCCCCGGGCUUAACCUGGGAAUUGCAUUUGUGACUGCAUGGCUAGAGUGUGGCAGAGGGGGAUGGAAUUCCGCGUGUAGCAGUGAAAUGCGUAGAGAUGCGGAGGAACACCGAUGGCGAAGGCAGCCCCCUGGGCUGACACUGACGCUCAGGCACGAAAGCGUGGGGAGCAAACAGG